AAGGACGGGCUUUCCCCACACGCCUCUCUCCAGGCCUAUAAAGACCAAAUGGACAAUUUGCAGGGUUUCGCAUUUGGGGUAGACCAGCCGCACUCGAAAGCCGGCGGAAGGAUUACAGGCACUAUACUAUGUUCUUUCCCCCAUAAUAGCCGUCCCCGGCGCCUCAAUUAAGGUCACACCACGUGAUGUAAAAACGGCCGGCGGGCUUCCUAUUGGCUUCUUUAGGCUGGUGGGAAGGAAGCUGACGGUACAAGCUGUAUUCCCGAACUGGAGAGGGAGCACGUGGACAUGAACAGGCCUGAUUGGCCGAUUGUCCCGUGUUCACGUGCACGGUGACCUGUCAUUGGUUUAGAGUGGAAAUACGUCAAUGGAGACUGUAGGGUCUUGGAAGACCGUGGGGGCGAGUUCUUUUCUGUGCCACCCACACACAUUAAAAACUGUGGGGCGCGGGGGAGGAAGAGAGAGCCCCUAGUAGGCUCUGCUGCAUUUUGUUAAAACGCUGUUGCUGCCUUUUAUUCUUCCUUUCUUCAAGUAUAAAUGUGAGGAAGAAAAGGACCGAAUGGGGCAGCGGCAGCCGCAGGGCCAGUUCAAGUUAUGAAGGACUCUUCUUUCCUUUGAUGGGCCGCCAUCUUCCUACUUGCACACGGACCAGUCCAGUCCUCCACAGAGCCCUGCCAAGAGGAAGAUCAAGUGGGCAGAAGUUACAGGGGUAAAAAAUGUUUGUGAAAGAACGCAUUGUGGAGCUGAGCAAAAAGAUACAAGCAAGAUAAGUCACGACUUUAUCUGUGUUGCAAAGCACAUUUGUGCUGUUGAAAGAUUCCAGGCAGUAUCUACCAAAAUUGGUUAAUUAUAAACCUUCUGUUUGGAUACCUUCCAGUUAUGCUAUUCUUUUCAAUAUUCUCCUGAAGGGGAAGUACAAUCGCAUCUUAUCUGAGUAAUACAUUUCUCCAUGUCACAGUAAAAGGAAUGAGAAGAUGUCCCCGAAGGAUCCACAGUCUAAAAAGAAAUCUAAGGGAGCAAACAGCCAAUAGGAGAGAAGUCAUGCUGGGCUGGACAGGGACAAUUGCUAUUCCCCUGCUCAGUAAGAGAGAGCCACGCAGCAGGGAAGUCACUUGCCUAGGGAGCAAGAGGUUGCCAGUUCAAAUCCCCACUGGAAGAAAGUGAUACAGCUUAUACCAGGAGAGGAACAGAAUGAAGGAUUUCUUUCCAUCCCCAAGCAGGCAGAGAUUAAGCAAUACAGAUCAUAAGAUUUGUGGCUGUGCUAAUUUUCCCAAGACACUGUUGUAAAAAACACCAUUUCAGGAUCUCUCUCAUCGACAUUGCCAGGUUGUGACUUGGAAACAAGUAGUGGGAAGAGUGAAAGUGUGGUUUGAUCCAGCUCUUUAAAAUAUUCAUGUUCAAAUACCGGGGUUUCUGUCCAUCUAAAAGUCUACUGCCUUGUACACCAGCUGGGGGUGGGUUAGGAAGGCUCCUAAUGGAAAGCGGGCCAAGAAGGAAAGGCAAUACAUUCAAAAGCACUGAAAAACAAACCCAACGUUGUGAGUGAGAAACUUAGUCCUUUUCCAGCCUAUUGGAUACCAAACACUCACAGACAACCUUCCAAGUUUGUAGCUGAAAAUCUGAUGAAACUUAAAGAACUGCAACACUGUGUCAUUGCUAUGCAACCAAUACUGACUACCGGACAAAGUGAUUUUAGGAGACAGGCUGUGCAAAGGGUACCCUUCUUGAGUAGGUAAUACCAAUUAAAGCCUUGGCUGUGGA